ensembl:lncRNA
UGAAAGGAGGACACCACCGCUGAUAGUGAAGGAUAAGGAGGAUGGAAAGGUGACAAAGUUUGAAGUGAGGGAAAUGGUAGAGGACGACAAUCUGUCUCUCCACUCCUUGGAUGAUUCAGACUUUCUGAUUAUUGUGGCCAAGCCCAACAUCCUUCUCCCUCCCUCUGUGAGUGCCCUGAAGAAGGCAUCACGCCUGAUGGAGUUGGUCCCUACUGUCCGGCCCUGCAGGGAGCAGCUGGACAAGAAGACACAGUGGACCAACACCAACGAGGAGAG